AGCUUCUCGUGGUUUGCUGCGUUGACGUCAGUCAUCAUCAUGGCUGAUCAAGUUGUGUUUGCUAACUUCAUUGCUGAAGAGCUGGACGAAAUCGAAAUGCCCUUGGUUUUGCAAGAAAUUGUGCACAAUGAGCAACGAUGAGAAUGGUUCCAAAAAUUAAUCAUUUUGUGGUAGACGUCGUCCCACUCUACAGUCCCUCAGAAUUUAAAGGCAAUUUCAGGCUUUCCAAGGGACAGAUGGAGGAUGUCAUAAAUGCCCUUGGUCCACAUUAUAAUAAUUUUUUAAACCAAACCAAACUGCCACUCAAAAACUGUGUUCUUGCCUGCCUCUGGACACUGUCCAAUCAGGAGUCCUAUCGUGGGGUUGCAGAUAGAUUUAGCAUGACAAAAUCCACUCUUGCCAAGCACCUACAUGAUUUUUUCCCUUAUUUAUACACACAUGGCCCACCACAUUUCCUGGCCCAAACAGCCAAAAGCCUGCUGAUGUCCACAGUAGGUUUUGGCACUGCAGGUUUCCCCAACACUUUGUGCAGUGGAUGGGUGUCACAUUCCGAUAAGGAGACUCCAUUGUGACAAUCCCCUGGCAUACUAUAACAGAAAGCAGUUCUAUUCUGUCAUUCUCACUGGGUGUUGUGACAGUCAGCGGCGCUUCUGCCAUGUCAGUAUAGGUCACCCUGGGAGCUGGCAUGAUGCCAGAGCAUUCCAUCUCACAGAAGUUGCUCAUCUUUUUGAAGAAGAUCCCCAGUCCCUUGUCCUGUGUCCCGCAGGGAAUGCACAUAAUUGGGGAUUCUGCCUACCCUCUGUUGCCUCAACUUAUGAAGCCUUACAGGGAUAAUGGCCACUUGACUGCAAGGCCGAGGCGCUUCAACAGGAAUCUCAAUUCUGCCCGUGUGGUUAUUGUGCAUACAUUUGGCAUCCUGAAAUCCAAGUUUAAGAGGCUUCGAUACCUGCAAAUGAAAAGAAUAACGCAUAUAAGUUCAGCAGUUCUGCAUGCUGCAUCCUGCACAAUCUUUGUUUAGAGUCCAAUGACCAAGUGAAUGUGCCGCAUGAAGGUUUGGAUGGUGAACCACAGCCCCCGCAACUCCACAACACUGAUGCAUGUCUCUAUAGAGACAUGAUUUGUCACAGCAUGUAAUCUAGCCAAAAAAUGAAGAAGUUUGAACAAUGGCCAUAGCCCAUUGUUGACCCUUAGUUAAUUAAAAAUGACCUUAUUUGAAUCAAGACCUGUAUGAAACUUCACUGGCUGAACACAGUUAAGCAGAGGGACAGAGAAUUCCAGAUGGGUUUAGUCAUUGACAGCAUUAGGAUAUAUUCAUUUAUAAAGAGGACUUAGAUAUGAAGUAAAGGGUCAAAUGAUGUGUUCUAAACAUUGAAAUAGUUCUAUGGUGUACAUGAGGCAUAUUUACAUUUUUGCAUUUAGCAGACGCUUUUAUCCAAAGCGACUUCCAAAAAAGAAGCUUGAUAGCCCCUCACUUUGCGGAUAGUCAAAACGUGAAGCAUAUGUACAUGCCCUGAAAAGGGUAUUACUGUAAUUGAAUAACCAAUGCACGGACAAACCUUUCCCUCACAUCAAGUACUUAACUGAAGGGAGGGAGCGCCAUGCACUGAAACGUAGCUCAAUCGUUUUACAUCCUCCCUGCUGGAGCCCUAUGGUAACUACAAUGCUCCCGUAUUUAGCACGACACUUUGAACAUAAAAAAACAAGAACAACCGACAACAAUACCCGAGCCAUAAACUGUGAUACACCAACGCACAUUAUUCCAUCGGUCACACAUAGCCUAUUGUGAAAACUAAAUAAGUCCCAAAGGGAAGAACCAUGAGAGCAUGUGGUUAAACAAGUUACAAUUAAAAAUGAACCUCAAAAGUGCAAGGGUGUAGCCUAUCUGUGGAAAAAAGCUACCAACAAAAAGAUUACACAGCAAGCACAUCCAAAUGUAUUUAUCGGAAAUGUUCACAACUCUACUGUAUCAACCUAGACUGUCAGGUUUCCCAUUUCAUCUUACAUUUGCUUUGAAAUGUAAGAGACUGAAUGCAUUAUUCCAUCCUUGUAAUUUAGAAUGGCUAUAAUGUAAGUCCCAUUUAUGCUAAACUACCAGUUAAAGUGAAGGUUUAAGAUGACAGGCUAUAUCUGCUUGCAUUGUUGAGAGCAAAGUUAAAAGGCCACCAGAAUGUUUAACAGUUUCACAUCUUAACAUGAAAACGUCCACCUUGUAAUUGAUAAGUCGGUGUGGACAUUUUGUGGUUAUCAAUAAUAAGCAACACACAUAUCUGAAAUAUGAAAGCUUUAUUGUGAUCAGUUUUCCAGUAGCUCGAUUAUCUGCCCUUGUUGUUGACUUAUUUCUUGGAGUUGCUCCCCUAUGGUUCCAAGGCUGGCCAAGAGCUUCCUUUCAAAGGUACGCCUACGCCUCUCCUCUAGACGCUGCCAUCUCUCCAGGUCUGGCCUGACCAGGGACUCCAGCACAGCAGUCCUCCUCUCCGCAUGGGCUUCAUAAGUGUCCACGAAGGACGGUCCUGGUCUUUGCCUGCUGGUGCUGGUGCUGGUGCUGGUGCUGGUGCUGGGUCCAGGGUGCUCCACUCCUCUGGAAGACACACCCUCACCGGCUGGGUUUGCUUGUGGUGGCUGUGAGAUUGUGUGUAUGGGUGUUUUUUCCAGACCCAGAGGAGUGGAAAAAACAGUGCCUGGUGGUGCAGAACCGAUCCCAGAGGUCCCAAAUAAGUCAUCCAUUUGCUGGAGGGGAAAAAGCAUGUCAAUGUACCUUGCAAAUGAAUCAUUAAUAUUUUGUCAGACAUGAAAAUGGCAUUUCAGAUAUGCAGGCAUAUACUUACUGUAUAAUACUCCCAUGUUUGUGUCCCCUCCCCAGUUGCACCGCGUCUAUCUUUUAUUCUUUUGUAGGUGGUGAGCAUGUUUGACAGUUUUAGGGGUGCGGGGGACCAAAGGGUUCAAAAUUGGUGUCUGGUUGGUGUUGGUGGCUGUUGAGGGAUAAGAUUGCAGAAGUGGUUAGUUUUUAAAUAUUAACACUAUGUGCCUAUUAAUUAGGUGAAGAAUGUGUACCUGGCUUUGUCUCUACAUGGUUUAUUUGUUCCAGGA